GGGACAGGACAUUUUCAUGCUUAUUAUCCCAAUCGUGGUUUCUGUUCCCUGCUCUCAGUUUGUUUUGUCUAUAGCUUCGUACUUCCCGCCCCCCCCCGGCUCGCUUUUUGGGCUUGCUGCUUGGCUUUUGCUUGCUGCUUUUGCUCGCUGCUGGCUGCCUGCUUUGCUAGCUCUGUUUUCCUUUCUUUUUUCUUUGCUUUUCGCUUGCUUGUUUUUUUCGCCAUUUUUUUCCUUUUUCCCCGGUUUCUGUUGUUCCCUUUCCCCCCCCCACCCCGAAGAUAUCGGACUUACUCUGGGCAGGAGCUCCCCUGGGCUCUGCGAGAGAAGCUGCGUACCCUCUGCGGCAAAGAGAGAUACAGCUCAACCCCCUUGGACUGGUGUAGCUGCAUCUUGGUGGGUGAGAUGAACACAGAAAAUGAGGAGGUCCUUUGGAGGCUGAGCUGCUGGGAACAGCCUGACUUGUGGGAGGAAAUCUGAUGCCAAAGGCUGGCUGUACCAGAGCAGGAAGACAAAACAAUUCCUUCUCUAGCUGGGGACCAAGGACAAAUGAUCCAAAUUUUGGGCCCAAGAGCACAAACAACGUGGACUGAAGAGAGAAAAACAAGCAGGAUGGGACUGCAUGGGCUAAAGCUGUAA